rnacentral:lncRNA from 1 species
UUUAUUAUUAUUAUUAUUAUUUUUUCGAACAUACAUAGGUUACAAAAUAAUAUAAUUAAUUACAGGAAAUAUCUCAUUCAUUCAUUACAUAAUACAAAGGAAAUA